CUAGAAUAGCAGAUAGGUGUUUUGCGUUGUGACAGAGGCGACGACUAUCGGGCCUGAUAUAGCUAUUGACUGUGUAAAAUUUUGUAGAAUCAAUCCAAGUAAUCAGAUUCGAGCCGGCUAGAGCAAGGUUCUAAAGGAAAAGCUGUAAUUGAGCAGUGAGUGGUCUGCGAAUUUGAGGCAUUACUCUUUUCGAUUCGUCGGAUGUCACAGAAGAGAAAUGGAGUGGGCUCUAUUGACUUUCAAUGCCCAGUUACUGAGACGGGGUGUGGGGCAACCUGGUCAUGAUGGUCAGAUUUUGACCAAUACACUAACAGAGUCAAAAUAGUUGUUACUAGGUGAUAUCUUUUUAUUUAUCUAAAUUUUAACUGCCAGAAUUACUAAAUAUUUGUCUUGAUAGAAUGUAACAGAUAUCCAACGAAACAAUAAGAAGUGGGUAAGUUAGCUCUAAUACACCAUCAAAAUAAGAACAAAGUAAAGUUUCAUAUAAAUGUAGUUAUCAAAUCUAGCUUAUCAAGAUUUCCAUGUUCAUCUUGAAGAGGAAGACUUAUGAAAGCAACACUUGUGACGCUGAAUGUAGCACCUUAAAUUUGGAUUAAAACAAAUGAAGCAAAGUAAACCAACUGUUGUCACACCUCCUUUUUACGUACCCGCGAGGGUACAAGGGAGUUUUUUCCAAUUAAAGGACAAUCGAAAC